rnacentral:rRNA from 1 species
CCUACGGGAGGCUGCAGUAGGGAAUAUUGCUCAAUGGGGGAAACCCUGAAGCAGCAACGCCGCGUGGAGGAUGAAGGUUUUCGGAUUGUAAACUCCUUUUGUUAGAGAAGAUAAUUACGGUAUCUAACGAAUAAGCCCCGGCUAACUCCGUGCCAGCAGCCGCGGUAAUACGGAGGGUGCAAGCGUUACUCGGAAUCACUGGGCGGAAAGAGCGCGUAGGCGGGAUAGCAAGUCAGAUGUGAAAUCCUAUGGCUUAACCAUAGAACUGCAUUUGAAACUGUUAUUCUAGAGUAUGGGAGAGGUAGGUGGAAUUCUUGGUGUAGGGGUAAAAUCCGUAGAGAUCAAGAGGAAUACUCAUUGCGAAGGCGACCUGCUAGAACAUAACUGACGCUGAUGCGCGAAAGCGUGGGGAGCAAACAGGAUUAGAUACCCGAGUAGUC